rnacentral:rRNA from 1 species
CACGUAGGGCGCAAGCGUUGUCCGGAAUUAUUGGGCGUAAAGAGCUCGUAGGCGGUCUGCUGCGUCCGCUGUGAAAUCUCGGGGCUUAACCCCGAGCCUGCAGUGGAUACGGGCAGACUAGAGGUAGGUAGGGGAGAAUGGAAUUCCCGGUGUAGCGGUGAAAUGCGCAGAUAUCGGGAGGAACACCGGUGGCGAAGGCGGUUCUCUGGGCCUUACCUGACGCUGAGGAGCGAAAGCGUGGGGAGCGAACAGG